rnacentral:rRNA from 1 species
ACACAGUAAACGAUGGAUACUCGUGGUUGGCGAUAAACAGUCAGUCACCAAGCGAAAGCGAUAAGUAUCCCACCUGGGGAGUACGCCGGCAACGGUGAAACUCAAAGGAAUUGACGGGGGCCCGCACAAGCGGAGGAACAUGUGGUUUAAUUCGAUGAUACGCGAGGAACCUUACCCGGGCUUGAAUUGCAGAGGACGCGAUCCAGAGAUGGUGACUCCCUUCGGGGCCUCUGUGAAGGUGCUGCAUGGUUGUCGUCAGCUCGUGCCGUGAGGUGUCGGCUUAAGUGCCAUAACGAGCGCAACCCUUGUCUUCGGUUGCCAUCAGGUGAUGCUGGGCACUCCGGAGAUACUGCCAUCGCAAGAUGUGAGGAAGGUGGGGAUGACGUCAAAUCAGCACGGCCCUUACGUCCGGGGCUACACACGUGUUACAAUGGGAGGUACAGAAGGCAGCUACCUGGCGACAGGAUGCCAAUCCCCAAAUCCUCUCUCAGUUCGGACUGGAGUCUGCAACCCGACUCCACGAAGCUGGAUUCGCUAGUAAUCGCGCAUCAGCCAUGGCGCGGUGAAUACGUUCCCGGGCCUUGUACACACCGCCCGUCAAGCCAUGAAAGCCGGGGGUGCCUGAAGUCCGUAACCGCAAGGAUCGGCCUAGGGUAAAACUGGUAAUUGGGGCU